rnacentral:rRNA from 1 species
UACGGGGGAUCCAAGCGUUAUCCGGAAUCAUUGGGUUUAAAGGGUCCGUAGGCGGUUUAAUAAGUCAGUGGUGAAAUCUGGUCGCUCAACGAUCAAACGGCCAUUGAUACUGUUAGACUUGAAUUACUGGGAAGUAACUAGAAUAUGUAGUGUAGCGGUGAAAUGCUUAGAUAUUACAUGGAAUACCAAUUGCGAAGGCAGGUUACUACCAGUGGAUUGACGCUGAUGGACGAAAGCGUGGGGAGCGAACAGG